AUGAGAUGAAACUGUCAAAAUGUCUCGUUAACCAGAAAUUCGGUUUCAUAUCUUUUGAUUAUGAGUGAGACUUUCCUGUCCUAGUUUCAAGUACUGGUGUACUCCUGUCUCCUUAGUAGGUGUUGCUGACAAAUGAUAUUGUUGUAACAACUGUAGGGAGUUCUGCCAAUCUAACCUGCCGAGCUUUCUUUGGAUACAGUGGUGAUGUCAGUCCUUUAAUCUACUGGAUGAAAGGGGAGAAAUUUAUUGAAGAUUUGGAUGAUAGUCGAGUCUGGGAAAGUGAUAUCAGAGAACAGAAAAAUACAGCAAGAUCUGAUGCAAAGAGAGCUACAAAAGCAGAAUGGCUGCCCAGCUAGUGUCAUGAUGACUUUUCCAAACUCUGGAAAACAACAGAAACCAGUAGCACUAAGUUACUAAACAUUACCAUUAGUUACUAAGAAAAAAUAAAGAAAAGUAAAUAUACCAAGAAAAGUAGGUCAAAAUAAGUCUUUUAAAAUGCAGGCUGUUAAAUGCUGAAGUCUGUCUUCUCUUUCUGAAUGUUUUGACUUUUCCUCUUCAAAGAAAGAACUGAGUUUCCUGGGAUGUUAUUUGGCCUGUGAGAUCCAAGCCUCCUGUUACGUGGGCUGGUUAUAGCUGCUGAAAUAUUUGUUAUAGAAAGGAUCUGGUGAUUCACGUCAUGUACUUUUCCUGUUUCUAAAAGUGUUAUCUCAUUUGGAAAUUGAGGAAAAAAAACAAACUGAGUUUGUAUUGUGAAUAACAUACUUGACAUAGCUUUCCAACUCCAUUAUAAAGUAACUACUUGGAUCUAAAAAGAUUCUUUGUUCAUUUAUCAUUCUGUGCGUGUAUAUGACUAUGUUUGUAUAUCACGGAUAAACCCAGAAAUGUUGGUAAA